CUGAAAUAGCAGAAUCCACUAAUUUGAAGGGGUGUCCACAUACUUUUGUGUAUAUAUAUAUAUAUAUAGUGUAGUACCACAAUAAAUACACAACGCAGCCUACAGUGUCUAUAGCAGGGCUCUCCGACUCUGUUCCAGGAGAGAUACCCUCCUGUAGGUUUCAACUCCAAGCCUGUUCCUGGAGAGAUACCCUCCUGUAGGUUUCAACUCCAAGCCUGUUCCUGGAGAGAUAUCCUCCUGUAGGUUUCAACUCCAAGCCUAAUCUAGUGUACCUGAUUCUAAUAAUUAGCUGGUUGAUAAACUGAAUCAGUUGAGUUACAACUGGGGUUGGACUGAAAACCUACCGGAGGGUAGCUCUCCAGGAACUGGUUUGGAGUUCAAACCUACCGGAGGGUAGCUCUCCAGGAACUGGGUUGGAGUUAAAACCCUACAGGAAGGAUGUUCUCCAUGAACAGGGUUGGAGUUAAAACCCUACAGGAAGGAUGUUCUCCAUGAACAGGGUUGGAGUUAAAACCCUACAGGAAGGAUGUUCUCCAUGAACAGGGUUGGAGUUAAAACCCUAAAGGAAGGAUGUUCUCCAGGAACAGGGUUGGAGUUAAAACCCUACAGGAAGGAUGUUCUCCAUGAACAGGGUUGGAGAGCCCUGGUCUAUGUGUUUAACCUAGAUCUGCCUAGACGUCUAUUUAGCUCGGUGAAUAAGUCCAGUUGCUUACAUUCACACAAGAUGAGACGCUAGAACCUCUACAUAGAUAAAAACACAAUUUCCAUUUAGAACAUCACAAUGGAAUCAGAAUCACAUUUUCAUGGUCUCUUGUUUUUGGUUACGGUCUCCCACUUCAAAAGGAAUUGAACAACAAUAUGGAACAAAGAUGAACAUUAUUAAAGAAAAAAUGAUCCUGUCACAUCCACUCUGUUUGUAUGGUAAGGUACAAAGAUAUCUUCAUCAUAUGCUGCACCCCAUCCCCAAGGUAGAUGAAUCGAAACGUGCGGUCAUGUAAUCUUCGCUAUGCCUCAUCUUACUCAGGACUCUUGUUGUAUAUCCAUUCCAAACGCAAAUGGUAUUCGUACAUCAACACACUUCGGGUUUCUCUCCUUUCACACUAUUAUCUGUAUUGCAUAUUGCCCCAGCUACUGUUAUCUUUGACAAAGCCUUAAAACAUCUGUACAGAGAGACAUAAACAUACAUUAAACCAUACUGAACAUCUAAUAUAGUACCAUACAGUAUAUAUAUUAUUUUCACUCUAUGACAAUAACACUGAUCAGUCACUACAAUGUAAACAAUAUAUUAAUUCAUAUAUAUAUAUAUUUUUAUCUGUACACAUACCUACAAAAACUGCACCAUUUACAGCAGGGGUGUCAUACGGAUCCGUCCCUCGAGCCCAUUCAAAUCCUUUUUCUUUUUAUGUAUAUAUUUUUUUUUGGGGGGGGACGAUCUCAAUCGACAUUGAAAUUACUCAAACUAAAUUCAAACUGUAGAAAUGUUAAAUGGACCUAUAUUUAUAGUCUCUUUACUUCACAUCGAAUUCCAAACGCGAUGGAUGAUGGACCUUUUGCAAAUAUAACCAAUUUUAAGUGCAGCCCUCCGGAUCUCGGCCCGAGGAGCACCAUUCGUUUGACAACCCUGAUUUACAGUUAACAGAUCUACAAAAUAAGAACAUUUACAACAUGGAAUUUAUGUUCAAUAGAGGUCUUAAAACACACAGGUGAUAUGUUGUUGUUGUUGUUGUUGCACUGAAUAAAACUGUAGACAAAGUAAAAUACUAUAUAUUGUAUACAUAUAGAAGUACAGUCAAAACUCUCCGUUCUAUGAAGUCACCUGGAAUUUAAUCUAGUUUUUUUGGAAAAGGAGAGUACGUUUGAUGUACAUACAAGCUGGACCCACACAUAGGAAGGGAAUACUUUACUCUGUUCCUGAUAUGGACACAUGUUUCACACUGAGGGGAGUGGAGGGAAUGAGACGCCUAGUAGAGGGGGGAGCAACAUAUUGGGUCUAGUAGAGGGGGGAGCAACAUAUUGGGUCUAGUACAGGGGG